UACGUAGGUGGCAAGCGUUGUCCGGAUUUACUGGGCGUAAAGGAUGCGUAGGCGGAUAUUUAAGUGAGAUGUGAAAUUCCCCGAGCUUAACUUGGGAGCUGCAUUUCAAACUGGAUAUCUAGAGUGUGGGAGAGGAGAAUGGGAAUUCCUAGUGUAGCGGUGAAAUGCGUAGAGAUUAGGAAGAACACCAGUGGCGAAGGCGAUUCUCUGGACCAUAACUGACGACUGAGGCUGU
rnacentral:rRNA from 1 species